UAACUUUCUAUGGAAUGAAAAAGUCUAGCAAUGAUACCUAUUCCAAAGCAGUGCAGUUGGCGCUACCUUUACACAGAAUACACAAUCUCUUAAAAAUACACUUAUCUCAAGCUGAAGCACACAAACUUCUAAAGCCAGAAAUUAAACCGAGAAAUGACUGCAUGAGAUAAGUAGUUCCAAAUGUUCCUUAUGCUUUAAAGUGAGAGGAUCAUCAAAGUGUCAGGGAAUUCAGUAUUCUGUGAGACAGACCAAUGAAAUUUGAGAAACACUUUAACUUUGAAAGUGCAAACACGUAAUUCAGGAAGAUGCACAGUUUCAUUAAAAGCUUAAAUUAACAGAGACUCAAGAAAUAAGUGAAGCCUGUAAAUGGUGAAAGCAAAAGAGACUGAGGAGCUGAUACCCAAACUUGUGAAGGAGAAGCUGAUGAACAGCUUCAGACUUAACUGCUAUUAUGAUUUACUAAAUCAUUCUUUUAUAUCUCCUGUGGUUAAAAAAUGAAAACCAACCUGGGCUGAAAACAGAAGACUGAAUGCCAAAAUGUUUGGAAUCCCACUUCAUUCAAAUAGUGACCACUGGGGUUAUGAAGAAAGAGAAGUUAUUGGUUUCCACAGAAGCAGAGUCAGCAGGGGUCAUGGUAGUUAAGUAGUACCUUCAUCUUGUCUCCAGAAUUUAGUUCUUGAUUCAUAAGUAGGAGGUUAUGAAGGUAGAAAGUUGUAGAUUUUUGAAUAUAUGAAACAACAAGGUUACUAAACAGUUUAAAUUCUCCAAGCCUAGGAGAAUUUCUAGUUCCUCGUCGUCCACUCUUUAUUAAAAAUGAAAAGUGAAUUUACC
rnacentral:lncRNA from 1 species